rnacentral:rRNA from 1 species
GACGAACGCUGGCGGCGUGCCUAAUACAUGCAAGUCGAGCGAAUCAAUAGGAGCUUGCUCCUGUUGGUUAGCGGCGGACGGGUGAGUAACACGUGGGCAACCUGCCUGUAAGACUGGGAUAACACCGGGAAACCGGUGCUAAUACCGGAUAGUCUUUUUCCUCUCAUGAGGAAAAACUGAAAGUCGGUUUCGGCUGACACUUACAGAUGGGCCCGCGGCGCAUUAGCUAGUUGGUGAGGUAACGGCUCACCAAGGCGACGAUGCGUAGCCGACCUGAGAGGGUGAUCGGCCACACUGGGACUGAGACACGGCCCAGACUCCUACGGGAGGCAGCAGUAGGGAAUCUUCCACAAUGGACGAAAGUCUGAUGGAGCAACGCCGCGUGAGCGAUGAAGGCCUUCGGGUCGUAAAGCUCUGUUGUUAGGGAAGAACAAGUACCGGAGUAACUGCCGGUACCUUGACGGUACCUAACCAGAAAGCCACGGCUAACUACGUGCCAGCAGCCGCAGUAAGAC